UCCGAAUGAGUCUGUGCGUCAGGACCUGGCAUCGGGCUCACGGAGCCAGAGUCACUCUGCAGAGAGCCCAGACCGCUGCCAUCAAAUGAAGCCGCGAGUGCCCUCUACUUCAUUUGUGGUUGUAGCCAGAACCUGCUGCUGCUUCCCACACAAUCCAGUGCCACCAAUGUCCCUGCCCUGUCAGAGGCACACAGGAAGGAAUGAAGGACCUGCUGAAGGUGGAUCUUGAUCGGGGUGGGACAAGUGAGGAUGUGAGCUGAAGGACAUGAGGCUGCAAAGCACCAGUAAGAAAAGAUAACCAUGAAAUCUCUGGAGAUGGGAAUGCCACAGAUUCAGGACCUUGCUCCUGUAGCUGCUCCAAGCCAGACUGCUCAAAGUGAGUGAACCUUUGGCAAGAAUCUCUCCCAGGCUUAAAGGGAUGAGA